rnacentral:tRNA from 30 species
GCGAGAGUGGCGGAAUUGGUAGACGCACUGGAUUUAGGUUCCAGCGCCGCAAGGCGUGAGAGUUCGAGUCUCUCCUUUCGCACCA